rnacentral:rRNA from 1 species
GUGCCAGCCGCCGCGGUAAUACGGAGGAUCCGAGCGUUAUCCGGAAUUAUUGGGUUUAAAGGGUUCGUAGGCGGUUUAGUAAGUCAGUGGUGAAAUCUUACAGCUUAACUGUAAAAUUGCCGUUGAUACUGCUAGACUUGAAUAGUAUGGAAGUAAUUAGAAUAUGUAGUGUAGCGGUGAAAUGCUUAGAUAUUACAUGGAAUACCAAUUGCGAAGGCAGAUUACUACGUACUUAUUGACGCUGAUGAACGAAAGCGUGGGUAGCGAACAGGAUUAGAUACCCUGGUAGUCCACGCCGUAAACGAUGGAUACUAGCUGUUCGGUUUUCGGACUGAGUGGCUAAGCGAAAGUGAUAAGUAUCCCACCUGGGGAGUACGUUCGCAAGAAUGAA